rnacentral:lncRNA from 1 species
AUCUCAGGUGAUCCGCCUGCUUCGGCCUCCCAAAGUGCUGGGAUUAGAGGCAUCAGCAACCGCGCCUGGCCUGUCAUGCUGCCUGACUUUUGAGGCUCGGUCCUAAAAGUCAAUAUAACUUCCACUUGGCUCUCUCUCAGGACCCUUCCUGUAUUCUGAGGAAGCCACACAGAGGGCCCAUGUGUUAGUGUGCCAAGCAACAGCCAGCCACCAGACGUGUGAGUGACUGCUUCCUCAGGCGGGUCCAGUUCCUAGCCUUUGAGUCUUCCAGCUGAGACUCCAGACAUGGUGGGGGAGAGAAAAGCCAUCUUUGCUCUGACUUGUGUGAAUUCCUAACCCACAGAAACUGCAAGAGAUAAUAAAUGAUUAUUGUUGUAAGCCAUUGAGUUUGAGAGUGAUUUGUUAUGCAGCGCUAGGGAAAUAACACAUUUACCAAAAGAUGUAUUUAUUAAAGGGUGUGAACCUAUAUGCUUCCCUUUUAUGGAUUUGGUUUUUGUUUUUGAGACAGGAUCUCGCUCUGUCACCCAGGCUGAGUGAAGUGGCAUGAUGCGAUCACAGCUCACUGCAGCCUUGACCUCCUGGGCUCAAGCGAUCCUCCCACCUCAGCCUCCUGAGUAGCUGGGGCCACCAGCAUGCACCUCCAUAUCCAGCUGUUUAAAAAAUUUUUUUUUGUAGAGAUGGGGUCUCACUAUGUUGCCCAGGCUGGUCUCAAACUCUUGGACUCAAGCAAUACUCCCGCCUCAGCCUCCCAAAAUGCUUGGGUUGCAGUUGUGAGCUACUGCGCUUGGCCCUAUAUGCUUCUUUCUUGUGCCUCCUAUAUCAUUUCUAGGUGGAUCAGGCCUAGCUCAUUUCUUCUCUCUUCUACUUUCCCCCUACCAUGCAUUUAGGUGAGCAAAUAAGCCAAGGCCUGCUAUGCAAUCCUGGCCACACAGUUCCCCUGUUUCUUAGACCUCCUCCUCUGCAUAUGGUCAGAGAGCAGGAAGAUCCCGAGAGGUAGGAGGCCCCUACCUCUCUCACCAGUGAGCUCUACAUUGAGGUAUGGGUGCUUGGACCUUCUUAAUAAAGAAGCACCUGUUUUGUGAUGAAACUCUCCCCGACAGCAGCUCCCUGGGGGAAGCCAGCUGCAAGGGAGGGAGAAGAAGCCUUGGUUCCAUUACAUAUCCAGAAACAAGACAAUAAUCCAGGGAGGUUCCAGAUACGGAGGCGUAGGGAAGAAGAGGUGGGGAAGUUGGGAGGGCUUUUUAUAUCUUGAAGGUGCUGGGAAGAGAUGGACUCAUAUUUAUGAGCAUCUGCAAUGUGCUAGACACAGGGUUUGGCUCUUCAAAUAAGUUAUUGUAUUUAAUGUUCACAGCAAGUGUAUGAGGUAGGAAUUACAAUUCUCAUUUAAGAGAUGAGGCUAAAUAACUUGCCCCAAAUCACCCAACUAGGAGGUUGUCGACCUAAGCUUUGAUUCCACUCUGUCUGAUUCCAAAGCUGCAGCUCUUUUCUUUCCAUUUGAGGGGAUGAUGAGGGUCUGAAUUCUGCCGUCAGCAACACUGAAGAGGCAUCCUCCCUCCCAACAGAAGACUCUUAAUUUAGUUUCACCUCAUUUGGAAGCUUCUCCAUCCACUUCAUCAUUCUAAUUGCUUUAAUAUGACAAAUUGACCAAUUACUAGCAGGUUAUUUAUAACCAUGGUGGAAUUAGUUGCUUAGUUCAAUCAAGCAACCAAAAAGUAACUGAAUUGUAAUGACUCGAUUGAUCAAACUGUUCCAAAUGGUUGGCGUGCACAUAUAUAACUCAUAUUAGAGUUAGACCAAUAUAUGCAACAGAAUAGUGGGGGAGUAUUUGACUAUUCACAAAUGACAGCUGAACCAAAAUAAUUCUAAUCCCAGCUCUAUAGCCAAGUGGACAAGUCUUAACUUUGAACACUAAAAGAUGUUCUAGAGAAAGUUCUGGGCUCUUUUUUGUUGAUAGAGAAACUGAAGCCUAGAAAGCAUAAGGGAUUUGCCAAGGUCUCCCAGCCAGAAAAUGCCGGAGCUUAGACUUGAACUAUUUGUAUUGUUUUGAUGCUGUUUUCCUACCAUGCCUGCUGCACCAUGACAUGGAGUCACUUAGCCUCUUGAAUCCUCAAUUAUUUUGUCUACAACAUGAAAGGAUUGGUGGAUGUAUCAGUUAACUUUUGCUGUGUAAGAAACCA